UGGAGGACUGAGAAGGUGGAACAGUUCCAUACCAUGCUGGCUUCCAUUGGUUAAGGCCUCCAACAUUAAAGGGCUGACAGGCAAAGAAUAUCCUCUCCACCACCGUGGAGGGGCAGAGCUGUGCUGGCCCACACUGU